AUUGAACGCUGGCGGCAGGCUUAACACAUGCAAGUCGAGCGGGGUGAUGGUGCUUGCACUAUCACUUAGCGGCGGACGGGUGAGUAAUGCUUAGGAAUCUGCCUAUUAGUGGGGGACAACAUCUCGAAAGGGAUGCUAAUACCGCAUACGUCCUACGGGAGAAAGCAGGGGAUCACUUGUGACCUUGCGCUAAUAGAUGAGCCUAAGUCGGAUUAGCUAGUUGGUGGGGUAAAGGCCUACCAAGGCGACGAUCUGUAGCGGGUCUGAGAGGAUGAUCCGCAACACUGGGACUGGGACACGGCCCAGAAUCCUACGGGAGGCAGCAGUGGGGAAUAUUGGACAAUGGGGGGAACCCUGAUCCAGCCAUGCCGCGUGUGUGAAGAAGGCCUUAUGGUUGUAAAGCACUUUAAGCGAGGAGGAGGCUCUUUUGGUUAAUACCCAAGAUGAGUGGACGUUACUCGCAGAAUAAGCACCGGCUAACUCUGUGCCAGCCGCCGCCGUAA
rnacentral:rRNA from 1 species